CUGGGAGCAAAACAGAAGCAUUGAUGAACAGAACCAAAACAAGCCAAUCAGGGUUUGGUUCAUAUUCUAGGUUUCACCAAGAAUAUAUAGAAUGUGGCCCUUGUAGAGAUGUCAACUUCAAGUGUUAACGCCAGUACAUCAGAUCAAUUGACAUUUUGCAACAGAAAUUGUCCUCAAUGUC